UACGGAGGGUGCGAGCGUUUGUCCGGAAUCACUGGGCGUAAAGGGCGCGUAGGCGGCGCGGGAAGUCCGUGGUGAAAGCCCGAGGCUCAACUUCGGGUCGGCCAUGGAUACUCCUGGGCUUGAGCACUGUAGAGGCGAGGUGGAAUUCCGGGUGUAGCGGUGGAAUGCGUAGAGAUCCGGAAGAACACCGGUGGCGAAGGCGGCCUGCUGGGCUGACACUGACGCUGAUGCGCGAAAGCCAGGGGAGCGAACGGG
rnacentral:rRNA from 1 species